rnacentral:tRNA from 1 species
GGCUUCUUGGUGUAGUGGUCAGCACGCUGGGCGCGUAUUCCAGAGGUCCGUGGUUCGAGUCCCGGCGAGGGCA